rnacentral:rRNA from 1 species
UACGAAGGGGGGCUAGCGUUGCUCGGAAUCACUGGGCGUAAAGCGCACGUAGGCGGAUCUUUAAGUCAGGGGUGAAAUCCUGGAGCUCAACUCCAGAACUGCCUUUGAUACUGGGGGAUCUCGAGUCCGGAAGAGGUGAGUGGAACUCCGAGUGUAGAGGUGAAAUUCGUAGAUAUUCGGAAGAACACCAGUGGCGAAGGCGGCUCACUGGUCCGGUACUGACGCUGAGGUGCGAAAGCGUGGGGAGCAAACAGG